rnacentral:rRNA from 1 species
AGCUCCAAUAGCGUAUAUUAAAGUUGUUGCAGUUAAAAGCUCGUAGUUGGAUUUCUGGUGGCGAGAUACCAUACGCCCGCGCGUUUUUGGUAGCUCUCCACCAUCCUUCUGUUAACCUAGAUUAGACUUUACUGGCUGUUUAGGAGCCCAGAUAUUUUACCUUGAGAAAAUUAGAGUGUUUCAGGCAGGCUUGCGCCCGGAUACAUUAGCAUGGAAUAAUGGAAUAGGACUUUUACCUCUUCUGUUGGUCUAAGGGGUCGAAGUAAUGAUUAAUAGGGAUAGUUGGGGGCAUUAGUACUUAACUGUCAGAGGUGAAAUUCUUGGAUUUGUUAAAGACUAACUUAUGCGAAAGCAUUUGCCAAGGAUGUUUUCA